rnacentral:rRNA from 1 species
UACGGAGGGUGCAAGCGUUAAUCGGAAUUACUGGGCGUAAAGCGCGCGUAGGCGGCUCGGUCAGUCGGGUGUGAAAUCCCUGGGCUCAACCUGGGAACUGCAUUCGAUACUGCCGAGCUAGAGUGUGGGAGAGGGUAGUGGAAUUCCCGGUGUAGCGGUGAAAUGCGUAGAUAUCGGGAGGAACAUCAGUGGCGAAGGCGACUGCCUGGCCCAACACUGACGCUGAGGUGCGAAAGCGUGGGUAGCAAACAGGAUUAGAUACCCUGGUAGUCCACGCCGUAAACGAUGUCGACUAGCCGUUGGAGACCUUAGAGUCUUUAGUGGCGCAGCUAACGCGAUAAGUCGACCGCCUGGGGAGUACGGCCGCAAGGUUAAA